UACCAGCACCCCGAGUGGUCAGGACGAUUAUUGGGCCUAAAGCAUCCGUAGCCGGUUCUACAAGUCUUCCGUUAAAUCCACCUGCUUAACAGAUGGGCUGCGGAGGAUACUAUAGAGCUAGGAGGCGGGAGAGGCAAGCGGUACUUAGUGGGUAGGGGUAAAAUCCGUUGAUCCAUUGAAGACCACCAGUGGCGAAGGCGGCUUGCCAGAACGCACUCGACGGUGAGGGAUGAAAGCUGGGGGAGCAAACCGG
rnacentral:rRNA from 1 species